GAAAUGCGAUAAGUAAUGUGAAUUGCAGAAUUCAGCGAAUCAUCGAAUCUUUGAACGCACCUUGCGCUCCUUGGUAUUCCUUGGAGCAUGCCUGUUUGAGUAUCAUGAAAUCUUCAAAGUAAAUCUUUUGUUAACUCAAUUGGCUUCUACUUUGGUAUUGGAGGUCUUUGCAGCUUCACACCUGCUCCUCUUUGUUCAUUAGCUGGAUCUCAGUGUUAUGCUUGGUUCCACUCGGCGUGAUAAGUUAUCUAUCGCUGAGGACACUGUAAAAGGUGGCCAAGGUAAAUGCAGAUGAACCGCUUCUAAUAGUCCAUUGACUUGGACAAUACUUUUAUGAUCUGAUCUCAAAUCAGGUAGGACUACCCGCUGAACUUAAGC
rnacentral:misc_RNA from 1 species